rnacentral:rRNA from 1 species
GAUGAACGCUGGCGGCGUGCCUAAUACAUGCAAGUCGAGCGAACGGACGAGAAGCUUGCUUCUCUGAUGUUAGCGGCGGACGGGUGAGUAACACGUGGAUAACCUACCUAUAAGACUGGGAUAACUUCGGGAAACCGGAGCUAAUACCGGAUAAUAUUUUGAACCGCAUGGUUCAAAAGUGAAAGACGGUCUUGCUGUCACUUAUAGAUGGAUCCUCGCUGCAUUAGCUAGUUGGUAAGGUAACGGCUUACCAAGGCAACGAUGCAUAGCCGACCUGAGAGGGUGAUCGACCACACUGGAACUGAGAAACGGUCCAGACUCCUACGGGAGGCAGCAGUAGGGAAUCUUCCGAAAUGGGCGAAAGCCUGACGGAGAAACGCCGCGUGAGUGAUGAAGGUCUUCGGAUCGUAAAACUCUGUUAUUAGGGAAGAACAUAUGUGUAAGUAACUGUGCACAUCUUGACGGUACCUAAUCAGAAAGCCACGGCUAACUACGUG